rnacentral:rRNA from 1 species
UCCGUAGGUGAACCUGCGGAGGGAUCAUUACCAGAGUGCCCUAGGCUCUCCAACCCAUUGUGAACUUACCAAACGUUCCCUCGGCGGGCUCAGCGCGCGGUGGCCUCCGGGCCUCCGGGCGUCCGCCGGGGAAAACCAAACCCUGAUUUAAUCGUAUUUCUCUGAGGGGCGAAAGCCCGAAAACAAAAUGAAUCAAAACUUUCAACAACGGAUCUCUUGGCUCCGGCAUCGAUGAAGAACGCAGCGAAAUGCGAUAAGUAAUGUGAAUUGCAGAAUUCAGUGAAUCAUCGAAUCUUUGAACGCACAUUGCGCCCGCCGGCACUCCGGCGGGCAUGCCUGUCCGAGCGUCAUUUCAACCCUCAGGCCCACCCUUCCGGGGGAGCGGGCCUGGUGCUGGGGAUCGGCGGCCCUCGCGGCCCCCGUCCCUCAAAUACAGUGGCGGUCGCGCCGCAGCCUCCCCUGCGUAGUAGCACAACCUCGCACCGGAGAGCGGAACGACCACGCCGUGAAACCCCCAAUUUUUUAAGGUUGACCUCGGAUCAGGUAGGAAUACCCGCUGAACUUAAGCAUAUCAAUAAGCGGAGGA